rnacentral:lncRNA from 1 species
CACAGACAUAACCUCUGCCUCCACUGAUAAUGUAAAUCAUCCCUUGUAUCAUUUGUCUUUCCUUCAGGCUGGAUACAAAAGGCAUAGAAAUGAACAAUUCAUGCCUAAACAUAGAAGAGCUUGAAAGCUAGUGUAUGUCAGAUGUUUAUUCUAGGUCAUCAUUAAGGGGUUGAGUGGAUUUGCUUAUAAACACAGGCUAUUCUGUCAGUGGGGAGUGGGAGAGAUAGAGUGUGUUUUGCAGUUGGAGGCAGCUCUUUUAAAGCCAUAUUGCAACUUUUCUGCCAUGCACAGUAAGUUAUACAGAUAAUUCUUUUUAUAGGUUAUGAAAUGUUGUUCCCUGAGCAGUGGAAAGUAUAAUAUGCUAUAGAAACAAUGCUUUUUCUCUCCACUUUGUGCAAAUGCCAUUUUUCAUUACCCACUGAGUGAGAGCUUGCUAGAGAUUGAAAUGAGAGCAGGGUUGCCCUCCCGCUAAUGGUCAGGCACUUCAUGACACACACUCAGCAACGACCUCCAUGGGAACCCGAGGAGGUCUCCCCAAGCAGCUUCCCCCAAAAUGAAGUCUGAAGUGCCAAGCCCUUGAAGGAUGUCACAUCUUUUCAUGUUACCCAUUUCCACCAGCCUCAUUCUCUGCCUAGGGUUUUGUGGGUUGUUGUUUUUCCCACCCAGUCCAACCAAAGCAGCUAAAGAGAAAGUACCAAGACAAACAGAAUGAGAGCCUUGGGGACCCCGUAAUGGGUACAGAGCAUGAGUGUGGUAAUCAUUCUUUUGAUUUGUGCUCAGAUAUGUUUUCUAUUUGCUUUUGCACAGAAUGCACAUUUUUCCCCCUGGAUUGCAAAUAAUCUGAACCAGGGUAAAACCAUUACAAAGUGGCCUUCAAACAUCAUGUCUGUAUUGGAACUGAAUGAUUGAUCAGACAUUUAAAUACGGAAACUGGGAAUUCAGGUAAAUGGCACUGAUAGGGUUUUGUUUUUGGUUUUUUGCUUUUUGGUUUUUUUUUUUUUUUUUUUUUUUUUAAAAAGCAUGCUCCAAGGUGUUUAAAUAAUCUUUGUUUGCUUGGGUUCUCUCUCUUUUUUGUUUUCUUUCUCUAUCUUCAUCUAUCUUUUUUAAAAAAGAAUUCUGCAUUUUUCCCUUUUAAUUAUGCUCUCAUUUCAGUGAUUUGGUUUUAUCCACAAAGCCAAAAAUAAAGAAAUGAUUUUUAUAUGAUUCCUAACAAUUAAAACAGGGAGAAAAGAUAGAAUUCUCAACACCUCCCAUGUCUGGUCAUCUCUGCUCUUUUUCUGGGGCCAUACUUCCCGGGACAAUCUUCAUCUUCUUACAUUGUCAUUGGUGUCUCCCGACCAGCCUCUUUUGAAGUUGAUCGCAAGCAAAGAAAAAGUACACAUAGAAUGACUUCUUCAGCUGACUGUCCUCCAUUCUCACCCAGAAGAGAGGGGAAGAGGAAAAGCCCGGUUGGGAAAUAAAGAUGAAUGUGCUCCCACGAUGCUGGGUGGGGCUGUUUUGUGCUGGAGCAGGCAGGCAAAGGAAUCCCACCAUGGGGCUCUUGAGUCCCAGGUUAAUGUCAAAUGCUGGGUUUUCUUUUAGUUACUCAAGGAUCAAAGGGAAAUUAUUCAAUAAAAAGGAACUUAAAGGGGACUUCUGUGCCCACAUAAACCUUAAUCAAAAACACUUGUUCAAAUGUAGCUUCCUUGACCUGCCUUUUCAUAUUGUCUUUUCAGCUCUUAUACAUACACAUUUGUGAUUAAAAUAAAGAUUUUCUCCAUCACCAUUCAACAUUUCCUUUUCCUCUCAGCUGACCAGAAUUUCACCAGGGUGACAUGACAGUUUGUUGCUAAGGAACUGAAGACUAUGUCAUAAGUGAGCAUUCUGAUGAAGAGGAGUGAACAGUUUGCAGCAGAUUGGAUAUUAAGUAUAAAUCAGCUCUCUGUGUAUGUCCUUGUGUGGUGGUAUAACUGACAACAGGUAGGGUUCCUGAUGGGAUUGGGUUCCACCAAUCAGAGCCACUUGCAUGAGACCUCAACUGAGAGCCAGAUGGAAACCACUGGACAGUAGUGACAUGGUUAAGUGGAGUCUGAGCCAUUCACUCGGAAAAACAAGCAAUCAUCAGAAUAAUGGGUAUGAAGACAAUGCAAUGACAAGGGAAGUGCUGCUGAGAUUGACUGACAAAUGACAACAGGAAAAGAAACUGAAUGCAAGAUGUGCCCCUCUUCCCCUACCAAGAAUAGAAGCUCCUAGGAGCUAGACUUUUGAUCUAUUUUGUUCAGGGUCCUAUCUCCAGCAAGUGGCAAUGGUGUUUGAAGAGGAGGGGCUCACUCUAAAUCUUGAAGAUGUUCAGCCUCGAAAAAGUAGAAGUCAUUGUGACCAAAGAUGAUGCCACCAUGCCUUUGAAAAAGAAAGGUGAUGAGCCUCAAAUGGAAAAAUACAUUCAAGAAAGGUCAAUGCUAGUGAGUAUGAAUGAACACAUAGCAAAAAUUUCAGGUAGAACAGCCAUGCCAAGGGCUGGUGGGACAGGUGAGGCCGAGUGAAUAAAAAGAAGUAGCCCCAGAGACACUCAAGGUGGUUCCAGCUGCUUUUGAAGGAGGUUUCUUUCUAAGAGGUGGCUGGGCUUGGUUUCAGCGUAUUCCAAUUUGGGACUCAUGAACUGCAACUAAUAAAGAUCAAAAAACUGAUACAGAAAUUGUU